UACGUAGGGGCCGAGCGUUGUCCGGAGUUACUGGGCGUAAAGCGCGCGCAGGCGGUCCUUUAAGUCUGAUGUGAAAGCCCACGGCUCAACCGUGGAGGGUCAUUGGAAACUGGGGGACUUGAGUACAGAAGAGAAGAGUGGAAUUCCACGUGUAGCGGUGAAAUGCGUAGAGAUGUGGAGGAACACCAGUGGCGAAGGCGACUCUUUGGUCUGUAACUGACGCUGAGGCGCGAAAGCGUGGGGAGCAAACAGG
rnacentral:rRNA from 1 species